rnacentral:rRNA from 1 species
UACGUAGGGGGCAAGCGUUGUCCGGAUUUAUUGGGCGUAAAGAGCUCGUAGGCGGUUUGGUAAGUCGGGUGUGAAAUCUCCACGCUCAACGUGGAGGGGCCACUCGAUACUGCCAUGACUCGAGUCCGGAAGAGGAGUGUGGAAUUCCCGGUGUAGCGGUGAAAUGCGCAGAUAUCGGGAAGAACACCCGUGGCGAAGGCGGCACUCUGGGACGGUACUGACGCUGAGACGGCGAAAGCGUGGGGAGCGAACAGG